rnacentral:tRNA from 1 species
GCCCCCUCAACUCAGUGGUAGAGUAACACUAUGGUAAGGCGUAAGUCGUCGGUUCAAAUCCGAUAGUGGGCU